rnacentral:lncRNA from 1 species
CCGGGACUGUCAUCAUCCUGUGCCGGGGGACGGUGCCCGACAUGGCCGACCUGCACCGCGUCAUGCUGGGCCGCCCGUCGGGGCUGCAGUCGCAGUUCCGCCUGACGUACGGAACCAUCCUCAGCCUGCAGCGCGCGGCCGCGCUCACCGUGGAGGGGUUGAUGCGCAACAGCUUCGGAGAGUUCCCCCUGCGGCGCCGCGCUGCGGUAUGGGAUGGGGGACGCAGGG